AAUCCUGGCUCAGGAUGAACGCUAGCUACAGGCUUAACACAUGCAAGUCGAGGGGCAGCAUUCUUCUAGCAAUAGAAGAGAUGGCGACCGGCGCACGGGUGAGUAACACGUAUCCAACCUACCGAUAACUCCGGAAUAGCCUUUCGAAAGAAAGAUUAAUACCGGAUAGUAUACGAAUAUCGCAUGAUAUUUUUAUUAAAGAAUUUCGGUUAUCGAUGGGGAUGCGUUCCAUUAGUUUGUUGGCGGGGUAACGG
rnacentral:rRNA from 1 species